ACGACGCGGGGCGAGAGACGGUGGCGGCACGGAGCUUCGACAGCGAGCAAUUCCGGCGGCCUGGCGGCGUAAUCGAGGGGGAGAGCAGAGGGGAACAGGAGAGGGGCGCUCAGGCUUUAUAGCGGUGCGCUCGGGCGGUUCUGGGAAGGUCGGGAUUAGUGGGGAGCGGUGAUGGCGCGCGGGGACGGCGGUCGGAAAUCGCGAAGGCGGCGCGGGGCUUUCCUUCAGGGAAGAACGCCCUGACAGGUGGGCCCCACCUGUCAGUGGCAGCGGGCGCGCAUGCGGACCGGUCCGGUUCGGGCGCGGUCGGCCGGGCGGUUCGGCCGGUUCGCGGCUUAGUGGGCCAGCCCAGUGGGUCAGUCCGUUCUAUUUUUUUUCUUUAACCUUUUCUUUUUCUAUUUUUCUUAUUUCUUUGAUAACUUUUGAUUUUGAACUCCAAAAUGGCCCAAAUAAAUUGCAGAAAAUUUGUAAAAUCAUGUUCUACCAUGAUACAACUUUUGGGAGUGAUUUCCCCUGAAAAUAAAAUACAUAAAAAUACAUUUGCCCUAUAAAUGCCUUUAGGGCUAUAUAACUAUUUAAAGAAAAUAGUUUUUCAACUCCAAAUAAUUAUCCAAAAAUUAUGGGAUAGCU
rnacentral:lncRNA from 1 species